AAGACUAUACUUUCAGGGAUCAUUUAUAUAGUUCUUGACUUGAGAAAUGCGUUUCUAAAAUGUACGGUCUCGCUAACUACGAUGACGAGAGACGAUAUUCCUUUCUGAGCGUGAAGCUGGCACAGAGUAAUGAAUCUUUCGUUUGCUCUCUGCCAUUGAUGAACGUUCGCUGCUUCAAAAAGGAGCAUUGAUGGAAGGAAUAUGUUCAGAGUAGU